rnacentral:rRNA from 1 species
UGGGGAAUUUUGGACAAUGGGGGAAACCCUGAUCCAGCCAUCCCGCGUGUAUGAUGAAGGCCUUCGGGUUGUAAAGUACUUUUGGCAGAGAAGAAAAGGCAUCCCCUAAUACGGGAUGCUGCUGACGGUAUCUGCAGAAUAAGCACCGGCUAACUACGUGCCAGCAGCCGCGGUAAUACGUAGGGUGCAAGCGUUAAUCGGAAUUACUGGGCGUAAAGCGUGUGUAGGCGGUUCGGAAAGAAAGAUGUGAAAUCCCAGGGCUCAACCUUGGAACUGCAUUUUUAACUGCCGAGCUAGAGUAUGUCAGAGGGGGGUAGAAUUCCACGUGUAGCAGUGAAAUGCGUAGAUAUGUGGAGGAAUACCGAUGGCGAAGGCAGCCCCCUGGGAUAAUACUGACGCUCAGACACGAAAGCGUGGGGAGCAAACAGG